UAAAGACCUAGUAAUAGGUAUGCUUAGGGAGGAGCUUGCGUCACAUUAAUUAGUUGGUGGGGUAAAGGCCUACCAAGACUAUGAUGUGUAGCCGGGCUGAGAGGUUGAACGGCCACAUUGGGACUGAGACACGGCCCAAACUCCUACGGGAGGCAGCAGUAGGGAAUUUUCGGCAAUGGAGGAAACUCUGACCGAGCAACGCCGCGUGAACGAUGAAGUAUUUCGGUACGUAAAGUUCUUUUAUUAGGGAAGAAUAAAUGAUGGAAAAAUCAUUCUGACGGUACCUAAUGAAUAAGCCCCGGCUAACUAUGUGCCAGCAGCCGCGGUAAUACAUAGGGGGCAAGCGUUAUCCGGAAUUAUUGGGCGUAAAGGGUGCGUAGGCGGUUAAAUAAGUUUAUGGUCUAAGUGCAAUGCUCAACAUUGUGAUGCUAUAAAAACUGUUUAGCUAGAGUAAGAUAGAGGCAAGUGGAAUUCCAUGUGUAGUGGUAAAAUGCGUAAAUAUAUGGAGGAACACCAGUAGCGAAGGCGGCUUGCUGGGUCUUUACUGACGCUGAGGCACGAAAGCGUGGGGAGCAAACAGGAUUAGAUACCCUGGUAGUCCACGCCGUAAACGAUGAGUACUAAACGUUGGGUAAAACCAGUGUUGAAGUUAACACAUUAAGUACUCCGCCUGAGUAGUACGUACGCAAGUAUGAAACUUAAAGGAAUUGACGGGACUCCGCACAAGCGGUGGAUCAUGUUGUUUAAUUCGAAGGUACCCGAAAAACCUCACCAGGUCUUGACAUGCUUCUGCAAAGCUGUAGAAACACAGUGGAGGUUAUCAGUUGCACAGGUGGUGCAUGGUUGUCGUCAGCUCGUGUCGUGAGAUGUUGGGUUAAGUCCCGCAACGAGCGCAACCCUUAUUGUUAGUUACCAGCACGUAAUGGUGGGGACUUUAGCAAGACUGCCAGUGAUAAAUUGGAGGAAGGUGGGGACGACGUCAAAUCAUCAUGCCCCUUAUGACCUGGGCUACAAACGUGAUACAAUGGCUGUUACAAAGGGUAGCUGAAGCGCAAGUUUUUGGCGAAUCUCAAAAAAACAGUCUCAGUUCGGAUUGAAGUCUGCAACUCGACUUCAUGAAGUUGGAAUCGCUAGUAAUCGCGAAUCCAGCAUGUCGCGGUGAAUACGUU
rnacentral:rRNA from 1 species